UACGGAGGGUGCGAGCGUUGUCCGGAAUCACUGGGCGUAAAGGGCGCGUAGGCGGCGCGGGAAGUCCGUGGUGAAAGCCCGAGGCUCAACUUCGGGUCGGCCAUGGAUACUCCUGGGCUUGAGCACUGUAGAGGCAGGUGGAAUUCCUGGUGUAGCGGUGGAAUGCGCAGAUAUCAGGAAGAACACCCGUGGCGAAGGCGGCUCUCUGGAACGCAACUGACGCUGAGGCGCGAAAGCGUGGGGAGCAAACAGG
rnacentral:rRNA from 1 species